AUCUCUCCCCUGCUGGAAGGGCUUUUAGCCCUUUACCUCGGAUUCGAAUGGAUUCGGACGAAUAAUAUUCUUGCGCCCAUCAUUACACAUGGCAUAUAUUCUGCUGUUAUAUUGGGACAUGGUCUUUGGAAGAUUCAUGACCACCGGCGAAGACUACGCCAGAGAAUCCAGCAACUCAAACUAGAAGGAAAAAACUUGCAUAAAUUGUGAAGGAGCAAUGUAACAAGGAUGUAGCUUGAAGUGUAGGGAAAUUGUAUAUACUACAUAGCAGAGCAAGAUUAUUCAUAGCGGGUAAUUUUACUGUACAAUAUAUGUAUUAAUAGAGAAGUGUAUGGUAAACAAACAAUAAAUUUAUAAGCUAAAACGAAGAAUUUUAAGUUGUAUACACCAAUAAUCACAUGAAUUUGUAGAUUUUGACCUUUUUGUUCA